rnacentral:lncRNA from 1 species
AACAGAUCUAAUUAUGUGCUGGUUAGGCUUUGACAUGUUCUUAUCUAUUGACUCUAUAGUCAUAGGUCAAAAAUAGAUUUAUCUCUACUUGGUAAAGCCAGCAUGUUUAAAAAUAUUCAACUCUUUCAACAAUUGCUCUGAAAUAUGUAAAGAGAGAAAGAAAUCUAAAUUACCUAGACUUUAUUAUUGGUCCUAGAUGGUUGUCACUCCCCUCAAAUUUAUACAGAAAAGUUUUAUGAGUUUCAAAUAAUGCUCAUGUUGCAAACUAUGUGGUAUCCCCUAGAACAGAAUUUUUAUUGGCAAGCCCCUUGAGCAUUAUCCUUCCACACUGCAUCUCAAAAAAGGAAAAGAAAGAAAAACAUAAAAACCCAUGUUCUGCAACUUUAACAACCACUUGAAAGCACAGUUACUAUGGAAAGAAUAUAAGACAUGAUCUGUGAUCAAGGAGAUUAAAUCUGGUACAAGGGAUGGGAUCAGGAUACAAAGCAGGAGUGUCACUUAUGUCCUUGUGUACAUGCCAUAAGAUAACACGGGUGGGCACAGGGCAAGUGCAGACAGAAAAAUCGAUGCUAAAAGCUUUGUAAAGAAUCUGAAUUUGAGUUGGGUCUUUGAAGUGUGUAGGAAAAUAGAUCAUAGUUGGGCUAGAAACAACGUGGGUCUUAUUGUGGAUCAUUUGGAAAUUUGGCCUAAGGAGGUUUAUUUUAAUAUAGGGAGCCAGCAGUAAGCCACUUAAGGCUUUGAGUAGAGAAGUCCUCAGUCUGACAAACUGGAAUGGUUAGGUGAGAUUAGCCACCCAGAGAAGAGCUAGGCUAUGGAACUCAGGAUUUAUGUCCGAUUACUGGAGCUCCCUACGAGCAGGUUCUGUAACGCACUGCCGUGUCUCCAGUGCGUGCGGCUCAGGUGCUCAAACAGUGGCCAACUGGAG